CGGGAUGGAGUCGCUACCACAUGCAGUCGAGCGGACAGAAGGGAGCUUGCUCCCGGAUGUUAGCGGCGGACGGGUGAGUAACACGUGGGUAACCUGCCUGUAAGACUGGGAUAACUCCGGGAAACCGGAGCUAAUACCGGAUAGUUCCUUGAACCGCAUGGUUCAAGGAUGAAAGACGGUUUCGGCUGUCACUUACAGAUGGACCCGCGGCGCAUUAGCUAGUUGGUGAGGUAACGGCUCACCAAGGCGACGAUGCGUAGCCGACCUGAGAGGGUGAUCGGCCACACUGGGACUGAGACACGGCCCAGACUCCUACGGGAGGCAGCAGUAGGGAAUCUUCCGCAAUGGACGAAAGUCUGACGGAGCAACGCCGCGUGAGUGAUGAAGGUUUUCGGAUCGUAAAGCUCUGUUGUUAGGGAAGAACAAGUGCAAGAGUAACUGCUUGCACCUUGACGGUACCUAACCAGAAAGCCACGGCUAACUACGUGCCAGCAGCCGCGGUAAUACGUAGGUGGCAAGCGUUGUCCGGAAUUAUUGGGCGUAAAGGGCUCGCAGGCGGUUUCUUAAGUCUGAUGUGAAAGCCCCCGGCUCAACCGGGGAGGGUCAUUGGAAACUGGGAAACUUGAGUGCAGAAGAGGAGAGUGGAAUUCCACGUGUAGCGGUGAAAUGCGUAGAGAUGUGGAGGAACACCAGUGGCGAAGGCGACUCUCUGGUCUGUAACUGACGCUGAGGAGCGAAAGCGUGGGGAGCGAACAGGAUUAGAUACCCUGGUAGUCCACGCCGUAAACGAUGAGUGCUAA
rnacentral:rRNA from 1 species